rnacentral:lncRNA from 1 species
GCCCGUGCCGACACAGUAGAAGAGACAGGGGAGAGGAAGAACGAGAGAGGAAAAGAGAGAGAGAGCGGGGGAGGAAGGAAGAGGGAGAGGAAGGAAGAGAGAGGCCGGCUGAGGCUGGCUGACGGAGGCCAAGGAGGCUCCGCGCAAAGGAGACGGUGGCUGGGGAGACACAGAGGCGGGGCUCUGCCUCCAAUCCUCUAUUUCGUUCGAAACAGGGGCCCAGAAGGGGGCCCUUUUAUUUUUGUGUUUUAAGGGUUGAAGUCGACAAAGGGUUUGCCGACUUCAACUUAAAAGUGCACCCUUGUUUCGAACGAAAUAGGAGACCGGAGGCAGAACACCGCCUCCAUGUCUCUCCGGCCUCCUCCCUGUGGAGGCUCCCCGGCCUCCGCCAGCCGGCCUCUCUUCCUUCCUCUCCCUCUCCCUCCCUUCCUCGCUCUCUCUCUCUCUCUUCUUCUCCUCCUCCCCCUCCGGCGACGGCGUCUCAGUUUCAAUGUCGGAACCGUCCCAGUCCUCCGCCGGUACAGCCCAGGAUGCUCUGAACCGGACGGUUCGGGACGGUUCUGCAGACCUUGGUAUCAAUUGUAACAUUCAAUUCCUAUAUGUCUUGCACAAACAUGAUCUAGUUUGAUUCAACAACAUUGAUAUAGACAA